AUGAAAAUAAGGAAGUAGGCUGAGCAAGCAGUUAAUGUAUGCAUGAUGUAUGUAGUGCCAAGGGUAUAAGACCUGGCUGCGUCCAGGGAGGGGCAGACUCGGCUUUGUUCGUUUCUCCACUUGCAAGUGAUUCAAUAAAACUCUGGCUUUACUUUUAAGAUCGUUUCGUCGUUCCUUGAGUAAUAUUGAAAGCUUGUACUUGGGAGCGAAUCCUCACCUAACAAUAAAACAAAUAUUGUGGGCGUUUGUUACAAAUGGCGACCACGAAGGGACAGGCAAUUGAGUUUCCCAUGGCGUUCCGGAGGCGACGUGGCCGAGCGGAAAGAGCGCUCUGGGCCCCGUUGAGGGCUGUUCCGCGUGGCUGACGGGCGUGCCGGGACGUCGGGGUAAGCGCCAAGCCUCUCCAUAGAAAUCAAAACGAGUAAAGCCAGACUACGGAAGGGGUAAGUUGCCCAGGACAGAGCUGAAGAGGGCCACGACAGCAGGGAAGCGCAAGUUGUCUGUCUUUUCCCGUUUUUGUCUAAACAAUUAGAAAAAAGUUGCCUUCCGGAUCCAUGCUUCAGAAUCCAGGGGGUAAAAAUGGGCCUUCCCAUCUCUAACAUCCUAACUGAGGAACUCAAAAACACCACUGAGGAAUGAGCCAUCAUCUCCUGGUCCUCACCUGAGGCACAUUCGGAAGCUGUUCUGCCUGCAUUUAACCCAGUCUCAUUAUCUUCGUAUGUAUAUGUGGUAAUUCAAACCAGACCUCUGUAAUUAAAGGGGGUGAUGCAUAUUCUCGAAAUAUGGUUUACUGUUCAUAUAUCAUCAUUUUACAUGAUGAUCGGAUUGGGUUAGGUGUCCAACGUCAUUUUCAGCAUCCAUUGUUUUCAUGUUAAUUGGUCAAGGGUGUUGUUUCUUCCAUCGUUUCAAAUUUCCAUGGUUCCACAAGUCUGUGGAAUGAUUAAGCAUUAAGAUGUCUUGAUGACAAAGGAAGCAAAGUUGCAUUUGUAACUCUUUGUUCCGCGGGGAACCUGCGUGCAACAUGCUUUUGGCCUGGGUAAAAAGAAAUGUCUUUCCAAGAUGAUGGGAACAGCUGAUGGCUGCUCCAUGUAUAGCAGAGGGAAGGGUGCUGCACAGUACAAAGCCAAUAGCAGAGAAUGACCACCUUUAGAUCAUCACCGUAUGAUAUUCUGCAGGAUGCGGUACAAUAUCAACAGACAAUCUAAGUGAUCUUACAGGUAUACACAGGCAUAUGUGGUCUUUCAGGUAAUUAUUAGGUCAACCAGCCAUCAAGCAAAGUACAAACUUUAAAGUAAUUCCAAAUCAUAGCCACAGUAGAACCAUUUAUUGAUUACUAGCACCCUUCUACCUGGCAUUGUUUGGGAAUUCUAUGAUGCCAAACAAAUCAGUGCAGUUUUGAAAUCAGGGCAGAUCUGAAAGGUUCAGUCCGCCAUCUUCAUUCAAAACGGUGUCCAAUUGUUUUCAAAUCUGGAUGAAACCUGCAGAUUGAUUUCAGGUACCAUCAUGCAAACUUUGGUUACCUAUCGUAAGAGCUCUCAGAGCACAUAUCAAACAAACAAUCUUCCGACAUACAUAGUAGGUUAAAAGUGAGAGGUUAGGAACUAAUCAUCACAUCAGGUGUGAGAGAUAUUACAAUGUUCAGAAUAUGCCGCCUGCUCAGUAAUAAAUUUAUUAGAUGCCUCAAGAAAGAUAUUCAAAACCAGGAAACUGCCUCAAGAAAGAAAACCAGGAAACUGCCUCAAGAAAGAAAAUCAGGAAACUGCCUCAUUAAGGGAUAAAUUAUGCUUUCUCUGACCCCUUGGUAAAAUCUUGGUAAAAUCUAAAAGACCAUGCAAGAGGAUGUUUCAAGCUCUAAAGGGCUGCAAGGACAGCACCUUUCACUGAAAGGAACGUUGGCAGAUCCAGGAUAUUGGAGGGAGAAAGGUUAAGCCAUGCCAAUGAAGCUUUCCUUCUGCAGUUAGGUAAUCUCAGAAAAUUUACACAUUGUGUACCUUUCUUUGAGGCACACCCAGUUGUCCAUGGUGUGCAUGGAGCAGAUUAGCAAUCAAGUAAAAACUGCCAAACAGGCAGCAACCCAAUAUGAAGCCGCAUGUUGACAUAACUUGCAGCUGUACCCUCCUCUAGACACAGUAUAUUAAGACUGCAGCUCAGACCGUCCCCUCAUUGCAGACAUCUGCAGCAUCACUUGGGAACAGCUGGCAAACUUGGUGAGUCUCUCUCUUUAUCUACCAUUUUUUUAAAAAGCACAGCUCAGAAUCUCUUACUGUGCCAUCCCACUGGAGGCUUAAACAAGCUUGAUGUUCCUUCAAAUGUCUCUGGAACGCUGCCUCUGAACGCGGAGGUUCAAUCUGUUGGUGGGUGACUGAUAGCUGUUUGAGAGGGAAGUUAGUCCUCACUUCCCCAAUACUCUUGAAUCUUCUGGAUUUUGCCUUCAUAGGUUGGUACACAACUCAGGAUGACUAAUAUGGAAAUUGCUGUGGAUGCAUUGAUAAAGGUUUUCUUGCAGUAUUCGGGGGGAACUGAUGGGUCCUUCAUGCUGAGCAAGAGUGGGUUGGAUCAACUGAUGAAGGCCCAGCUUCCAAAUGUGCAACAGGACCCAACUUCGUUCGACAAAAACUUUCAUGAAGCAGAUGGAGACAAUAACCAGUGGCUGAGCUUCAAUGAGUUCAUGGUUUUUCUUUCCAAGUUAGAUUUGAACAUGAGAGACAUCUGACAGUGAUGGAUGCACUUAAAAGCAAUAGAAAGCACCAAGAGGAAGGGAAAUCAUGUCUCAACAAAACUCUUGUCUCUAAAGCUCAGGGAUUGACCUCUCUUAUCCUGGCUGGCAUCCCCCUGUGAAAAUAAAGAUUUGUU